GUGGGGAAUUUUGGACAAUGGGCGAAAGCCUGAUCCAGCAAUGCCGCGUGCAGGAAGAAGGCCUUCGGGUUGUAAACUGCUUUUGUACGGAACGAAACGGUCCUGGCUAAUAUCCGGGGCUAAUGACGGUACCGUAAGAAUAAGCACCGGCUAACUACGUGCCAGCAGCCGCGGUAAUACGUAGGGUGCGAGCGUUAAUCGGAAUUACUGGGCGUAAAGCGUGCGCAGGCGGUUAUAUAAGACAGAUGUGAAAUCCCCGGGCUCAACCUGGGAAUUGCGCUUGUGACUGCAAGGCUGGAGUGCGGCAGAGGGGGAUGGAAUUCCGCGUGUAGCAGUGAAAUGCGUAGAUAUGCGGAGGAACACCGAUGGCGAAGGCAAUCCCCUGGGCCUGCACUGACGCUCAUGCACGAAAGCGUGGGGAGCAAACAGGAUUAGAUACCCUGGUAGUCC
rnacentral:rRNA from 1 species